CCUGGUGCUUGCACCGGGUGGAUUAGUGGCGAACGGGUGAGUAUCACGUGAGUAACCUACCCUUGACUCUGGGAUAAGCCCGGGAAACUGGGUCUAAUACCGGAUAUGACCAGUCACCGCAUGGUGUGCUGGUGGAAAGCUUUAGCGGUUUUGGAUGGACUCGCGGCCUAUCAGCUAGACGGUGAGGUAAUGGCUCACCGUGGCGAUGACGGGUAGCCGGCCUGAGAGGGUGACCGGCCACACUGGGACUGAGACACGGCCCAGACUCCUACGGGAGGCAGCAGUGGGGAAUAUUGCACAAUGGGCGCAAGCCUGAUGCAGCGACGCCGCGUGUGGGAUGACGGCCUUCGGGUUGUAAACCACUUUCAGCAGGGAAGAAGCUUUUUGUGACGGUACCUGCAGAAGAAGCGCCGGCUAACUACGUGCCAGCAGCCGCGGUAAUACGUAGGGCGCGAGCGUUAUCCGGAAUUAUUGGGCGUAAAGAGCUCGUAGGCGGUUUGUCACGUCUGCUGUGAAAGCCCGGGGCUUAACCCCGGGUGUGCAGUGCGUACGGGCAGACUGGAGUGCAGUAGGGGAGACUGGAAUUCCUGGUGUAGCGGUGAAAUGCGCAGAUAUCAGGAGGAACACCGAUGGCGAAAGGCAGGUCUCUGGGCUGUUACUGACGCUGAGGAGCGAAAGCAUGGGGAGCGAACAGGAUUAGAUACCCUGGUAGUGCAUGCCGUAAACGUUGGGCACUAGGUGUGGGGAACAUUCCACGUUUUCCGCGCCGUAGCUAACGCAUUAAGUGCCCCGCCUGGGGAGUACGGCCGCAAGGCUAAAACUCAAAGGAAUUGACGGGGGCCCGCACAAGCGGCGGAGCAUGCGGAUUAAUUCGAUGCAACGCGAAGAACCUUACCAAGGCUUGACAUACACCGGACCGCCCUAGAGAUAGGGUUUCCCUUCGG
rnacentral:rRNA from 1 species